CUUAAAGGAGCAUUUCACCGGUGGAGGCAUGAAUAUGUAUUGAAAUCGGGUCCUAUAUGUAGUCGAAUAAUAAAAUAAAAUUCUAAUUUGGUGCCGUCUUGACCGAGAAAAGGCAGAAAGUGACUUUUUGAUGCUUGUGGAUUGAAGACAACAACUCCCACCAUGCACCACGAUGCACAGCUUCGCUGGCCACUCCCGCUGAUCAUCUCCGCCUAUCGGACACCUCCUUGUUCCAUCUACUAAUAGAACAAAUCAGCGUGGAGCUUGACCCGACGUCACUGGCAGAGAGUAAUGACGCUUGCACAGAAGCAUACGGCCGACAUCUUUCUUUAUUCUGGGUGGAAAUAGUAACAUAGUUACGCCAUUAAAUGCGUUUAUGUAAACAUUUUUAGCGAGAAGUGUGCAUUUUACUUUCAUAAGGUUCGCUCGUUGAAUGUGAAGGAUGUUUGGUUUGAUAGUUAUGACGAAGAGGGAACGCUCCAUUCACUUGCAUGGACAGCGUCUCUGGUUGCUAAGCAACCUCAACGUCUUGGCGGAAUAUCUGCUGAUCAACACUACGAAUGCUGGAAACACACCAGACACACCAUGUGAAGUUAUUUAACCCGAUUAUUGUUAUUUAUAUCCGAGAUUAUUUAAUCUAACCCGAUCUAAACUCUAUCAUGCACCCAAACACGGCGGCGUUUGGGUUUCCUACCUCGGACUCCUCAAUCCAUCGCAGCCACAGGCGCGUUGAACCAUUUUUGUGACACACAAUGAUCAAGCGUCAAGUUAGGCACGUUACACGCGUUUGGUGUGGCCGUAACAUUAUGCGGUUUCACCCAAAAAAUCGGCUUUGUGUGGACGGGGCCAAGAAGGCGAAUACGCGUCACCAAGACGGGGAGACAGCGCCAGGCGACUUACGCCACUAUCUGCCAAUGGAUCGUGGAUGCCUGGGCUGAUAUAACAGUCUCAACUGUGGUCCAAGCUUUCACGAAGGCAGGAAUAAUCACUGAACUGCCAGGCAACAGCAGCGACACUGACUCGGAAAAUGACGAGAGGGAUCCGGGCAUGUUGGAUGCCGUACUCGCCCAACUGUUCAAUUCGGACACACAAGAAUUAGAGGGAUUCGUAGACGUGGAAUGAACUGAAAAAGUGAGCUUACUGUUAAGAGAUAUUGAUAUUGAUCAGAUAUUGUUAAUAUGCACAUUAACGUUUGAACAUCGUUACCAUGGGAGUAAACGCUUAAUAAAGUUUGACUUUAUCUGACUGUUUUGUUGACAUUCCCUUUAGCACAGCUCGGUCUAGUCGAUGCAUAACGCAACCCCGGUCAAACGUUUGACUGCAGUAUCUUCUAUUCUAUGCGCCUUAUAAUCCGGUGCGCCCUAUAUAUGAAAACAGUUCUAAAAUAGGCCAUUCAUUAAAGGUGCGCCUUAUAAUCCGGUGUGCCUUAUAGUGCGGAAAAUACGGUAGUCCUCGUUUGUAUUUCUUUCGAAAUGGUGAACUUUUGCAUGGUGCCAUCUUCUAUGUCAGAUCCAGUACCCUCCGCCAAUGUACUUCAGUUUUAUCAAGAGCCUCUGUUAUCUUUACUUCAGACGCUGUGGAUGUUAGUUUCUGCUGGUGAAGUCCCACCCACUGGCACUGCUCUAAUAGGUCUGUAGCGUCAGUGGGUCCCACCCCCUAGAGGGGGGUGGGACUAGUGGUUGUAGUCUUACGAGAAUCAUCCCCUCUUACA